UACAAAGCCUUUUUGUGAAAAGAAAAACCAGUAUGUGGUUCAGGGAGACUUUAAAUUCUCUGUUGCUAUGCUGUAAAAUCGGGGAAAUACCUUUUUAAGAUCAGCGUUUAGAAAUGUGUGAGGAGGCGGUCGUCUGAAGCUCUGAGGUCAGCCUGCCAGUUGAGGGAAACUCGUCCAACAACAGAGCCUUAGACAGGGAAUGCGGAAUGCUAUUGGCUGGAUCACGGAUGGGCGGCCCGUAGCCGGAGGCAGUCUGGCAGGAGGAGGGGGGUGGGAAUGGCUGGAAAUGUUUCAGCCAGAUAGUUCAGCAGCAGGACGUGCUGGUGCUUUCUGCACUGUAUCCCCGUCUCGGCAUGGGCCUUCAGCUCACGACUGCACACGGGCAAUGACAGAGAUUCACGAGGCUGUUAUAUCUGGAGAGAGGGUGAAGUGAAUGAGUCCGAUCGUCGCACCAGGUGCCUCUUUGCGUAAACUAAGAAAGGAAACGCGGAGAAAGCUCCGUUAUUCCGACAAGAUCCCGGACAGAAGUGCCUUCUAUGACGAUGUUUCUACUUGAAGCUGCUCACAUCCCACACUGUAAACAACACUAGCUUAGCCUUCGUCUCGUCCGGCCCUAUGUAGUGUCAACACGGCGAAAAUAUCUAAUUUCCUACGUCUUGCCAAAGCACAAGGAAACGCCACGCUUCAUUCAUUUACAGACCGUCAUUAGGUAUUAUUCCAAGGAGAGCCAUUGCCUUCAAAUAGCAUUAUCCACAACAUACAGGAAAAAAGGACAUCAGUGCUGCGAAUGUCCCGGAGCAUGUUCUUAUUGUUGUGUCCGUGUUGUGCACCUGGGACUAAGUGACUGAUGAGCGACUCGGCAGAGAUUGACAGCUUUCCUGGUAGCGGCCAUCUCCAACAGGGGGUCUGAAUGUGACAUCUCUUUUUAAAGCCCCCAGCAACAAAUAAAAACAACAAACUGUACAGGUAGAUUCUGACUGCUCGAAACUAUCCCUGACACCUUUCACCAAAGCGGCCGAAGGUUCAGUUUUGCCAUGGCGUUAAACAUCGCUUCAAUAAGAGACACAAAAUGGCUGACGCUGGAGGUGUGCCGGCAGUUUCAGAGAGGCACGUGCUCACGUAGCGACGAGGAAUGCAAAUUCGCGCACCCGCCCAAGAGCUGCCAGGUGGAGAAUGGAAGGGUGAUCGCCUGCUUUGACUCACUGAAGGGUCGGUGUUCGCGUGAGAACUGUAAGUAUCUUCACCCGCCAGCCCAUCUAAAGACCCAGCUGGAGAUCAACGGACGCAACAAUCUCAUCCAGCAGAAGACUGCAGCGGCAAUGCUCGCCCAGCAAAUGCAGUUCAUGAUACCCGGCACCACCAUGCAACCAAUGCCUACAUUUUCCGUCAAUCAAGGUCUGGGCUCGAACCCUGGUCUCAGCUACGCACCGUACCUGACUCCUAUGAGUCACAGCAUGGGUCUCGUCCCCACCGAAAUGCUCCCCAGCACCCCUGUGAUCGUCCCGGGCAGCCCACCCGUCAGCAUGCCCAGUUCCUCCUCUACACAGAAACUACUGCGCACAGACAAACUGGAGGUGUGUCGUGAGUUUCAGCGGGGCAACUGCGCUCGCGGCGAGACCGACUGCCGCUUUGCCCAUCCCAGCGACAGCCCCAUGAUCGACACGAGCGACAACACGGUCACCGUGUGCAUGGACUACAUCAAGAGUCGAUGCUCGCGCGAAAAGUGCAAGUACUUCCACCCUCCAGCGCAUCUGCAGGCCAAGAUCAAAGCAGCGCAGCACCAGGCCAACCAGACGGCCGUCGCAGCACACGCGGCCGCUGCAGCUAUGACUCAGUCGACUGCCAAAGCAAUGAAGCGACCCUUCGAGGCAUCUGUAGAUCUGGCGUUUCCUCACGGAGUCCUGCAGCCUCUACCAAAGAGACAAGCGCUGGAGAAAAGUAACGGGGCGAGCACGCUCUUCAACCCCAGCGUCCUGCAUUACCAGCAGGCUCUUGCCAACGCGCAGCUGCAACAACCCACCUUCUUUCCCACAGGGUCAGUUCUGUGCAUGGCUCCUGCUAGCAGCAUUGUACCCAUGAUGUACAGUGCUACGCCUGCUGUCUCUGCAGCUACAACUCCUGCCACAAGUGUCCCCUACGCAACAACAGCACCAGCCAAUCAGAGGACCUGGAUAUACUCUGAUGGCAGGAACUGGGACAUUGAGGGUUAUUUGUAGUCUUAUCACGUAAAAUUGAACCCGUUUCCUGAGGGUCUAUAUUCAAAUGAUUCAAGGCUCUUCAGCGCCCCCUGCUAGAAAUAUAAGAUCAUCUUGAAAUAAGCCACAGAAGAGGAUUGGGGUGUCAGGAAACUGCUUGGAGAAACCCAAAAAGAUCCCACUGUAAAUACAGCCUGCCCUCCCCCUUAGAAGUACAGCAACCUGCAUGCUAAAGAGUAUACCAAUCACCAAUCAACUACACACUGAGAGCUGGUGUGCUAUAUACACACAAAAACAAACACAAACACACACAAUAUGCCUGUUAUGCUCGGAAAAGUAACACAUCCGACUUCUGAAUAGAUUAUAAACAAAAGAUGUAAAAAACGAGAAAAUAUAUAAAUAUAGAUAUAUAUAUAUAGAUACAUGUUAAUGUACAGCACGUUUCAUAGAAGCAUAAGUGAGGAGUCAUUCGACUGAUCGGUCACUUGUCAGAUAAUGUGUAUUUUUUCUCCCAUAUUUGUUGAAAACAAAUGCACAACGUACACCCAAAACGGGAGACGAUUGAGAAAACAGACAUUUGUUUGCACUGUUGGAAAUAGUGCUUCUUGAAUCCUUCAGACUAUGUCUUAAACAUCCCGACACACCCUUAAAGCGGGGAAGCGGGAUUGCUUUCAUUUGUAAACAAACAAGAAUGUUACGGCAGACUAAAAUACGUCUGUGGAUUGAUUGAUUGUCCACCGGUCAAAAUGCGCUCCCUCGACCUCAAAGUCGCCAGUUCUCAUUCCUGGACGUCACCUUUUCGUCUUCAAAAUGGAUCGAUUGACGGAGAGUAACUGCAACGAUUGGAGAAGACGUUAAUAUUUGACUCUUUAUCCCCAAUGGCCAAAGAAAGGUUUACAACGCAAGUGCAUAACGGUGUCAGAAGUGUGAAUGUGGCAAACGACGGUGCCAUGAAAGAACUGUGUUUUAUUCCUACUUGAUUUUUAUUUUGUUUUAUUGUUUUAAUGGACGGUGAAUGAUUUUGAUGCGUCAGUGGUAACGCUGGCCAUCCGGGAGUCAAGCGUGGCUUCUGUACCGUGCCAAGGGCUUCAUAUUAAACUCGGAGAGCUGCUGUAAUCUCACAAACCGAACAGACUUCUGCAACCUAUCGGAGGCCUGUUCGCCGUACCAUUCACACGGUGCCCAGUAAACGGUGAUGAAUGAAGAGGAGGAGGAGGAGGGGGCGCAGGACCUGAAUGGAGGGCUAACUACGCCCUCACCGGUAAUCCUGUUUUAUUUGAUAAACAGUAGAAGUGCCUAAAAAAUAUAUUUUACACAGCAAGCAUCUUGAAAAGAUUGACUUUAUGUGCGGUCGGAGUAUGGCGAGAAAAGCAAAGCUCCCAAUUUUGAAAAAAAAGAAAACAUGCACGUCAUGGGUCUUGUUUCAUUAAAUAUCGUUUUCACACCAAUAGCUUGAAAUUGGAGUAAGACGGCGAGGGCAGAAUUGUUCGUUUUGUUGUGCAACUUUUACCAUGGUUUUUUGAAGUAGUUUACAGAGUUUCAUCAGAACAAGCUAAAUGUCUGUAACGUGAUGUUUGAGUUUGACAAACGAUUGUCGUUGCGAUGUGUUUUAGAUGAACCUUUGAUGUCGAAACAUCGUUCUUUAAUCCAUCAGUUUUCAUUUCAAAUACACACACCGCUUUCUUAAUCACCCUAAUUUCUGAUGGACGACUGUAUGUGCAUGUUUGAAUGCAUUGGUGUGAGCGCGUGCAUGCGCUAAUGUAUGUUACCAAUCCAAUCAGAACCAUCAUGUAUUUCAUGGUGCUCGAUUAACACAGACAAUCCACGGAGAUGUUUGGUUUAAAGCAGGAAUAAGGCACUGGUCUUAGCAUUUUGUUUGUUUUUAAUUCAUCAUUUUCUUAAAAGUUUUGCAAAAGUUACAGUUUUAAUGUAAUUUUUGAAGUGGAAAGUGAUUUAAAUUUAUUUUAUUGUUUCGUUAAAUACUAGUCACAGAACAACGGUGUAACCUAUUUUAAAAUGAAUGUAAUUUAUUAAGCCGCGCUUUGGCUACGUGCGAUGCCGGAAGCUCAGCCAAUCAGGAGCCGCGUCUAAAUCUCAAAUUCGAACACGACAGGACAUCGCAUUGUAGUGUAAGCGAGGCUAUAGAUCUGCUUGUGUUAUGUAAAAACGUUUAUUGUAUAGGUAAUGUUUUACCAAAAAAAUGUAAAAUUUAAAAAAAGGGUAAAAAUAUAUAUACGACAAAAAUCUCAGUAGUAUGAUAGUAAUUUCAUAAUAAUAUUAAGUUGUUGCUGUGGCAACCUUAAAAGUUGCAAAUACUAAAUUUUUGGUAUUUUUGUAAAUGAUGUAAUUGUUAAGUUGUUUUCUUUACGUUUUUUUUUUUUUUUUUUAGAGCACUGUACAAUGUUAGAUUGUAAAGCAAGAACAUUUCCUAUUUUAUGUCAAGAAUAUAUUACCAGGAAAUUUUCGGUAGCAUUUAUCGGCCUCUUUAUUGGUGUAACGUUUAAGAUAAUAGUAGUAAAUACUUAACAGUUACAAUUAGUGUGACGUAACUUAAGUAACAGUCCGAAUAUAUUAUACAAGUAUGAAUAAUUGCCCCAACCCCACCCACUUUUUUCUUUUUUAAGAUUGAUGGAUCUCAAGCACUGGUGAUGAUCAGUUUUAUAUUAUUUAUGAAAGUUGUCCUGGUUUGUUCAACAAAUAACGAUUGCACUUUUGAUUUAUUGUAAUUUUUCGGAUGUUCAUUUCAAACGGAUGCACAAUGAAUAUGGUAUGGCGACGUUAAAUGACACAAAUCGGUAAUGGCUCUUUUAUUUUUUGUUAUACCAGAGAACUAAAUAUUCAGUAAGCAUCUUGCAUGGUAUUUUAUGUCAAAUUAAGAAGUUAUUUUCAAUUUAAUCUAAGAAAAAAAAACUAUUGAAUGUUUCUAUGUACACUCGAGAACUAAAAACAACUGCACAUUUUGAUGAAAUUAACGUUUUGUCCUUAAUUUGGGAUUUCUUACAGCCCAAAUGAAUAGAAAUGUACAGAAAUGGAGGACUAAAACUGUUGACUGAUGGUGAACAAGCACUUUCUAAUCAGUUCUUAUACUGAGCAGACAGCGUAUCCAAACACUUUGCCUUACCUUUAGUCCAUCGUUCUUACGCUUUUGUGUUCUUAAUAUGUACUAGGGUGUCUACAGAACUUACUUCUCACCAUCAUUUAUAAAUAUAAAUAUAUAUAUAAAAUACUAUACCUAUGAUAUAUAAAGAAGUGUAAGAGUUUUAUUCUUUCUCAACAUUUCCACUGAGAGGCCGAUGAGUUUGAAUGCUUUUUAAAGCCCUUUUCUGGUUGAGACGGCACCUGACGCCCACCUGAACCGCGCUUAAAGGAUUGUGGGUUAUUACGCUGUGCUGCUUGAUUUCCAUCAGGAAUGCAGGAGCCCAUCUACAUAGACACACAUUCACAAAGUUAAUAUGAGAAAAUAUUAUUAAGCAAGCCCUCUUUGGAUAAUAUUAGUUUUCAUGUAACCAUUUUCAAUGUUUUGUUUGUGCAUAUAUAUUAUGUGCUAUUUUAUGUCAUAUAGUCAAAUGUUUUUCGUUCCGGAAAAGUAGUGUAAAAUCUAUUGAGACAAAACAAAUAAAUAAAAAAAGACUUGGGUGUC